rnacentral:misc_RNA from 1 species
GGCAAAGAAUACAGGCCAAACCGAAACUUUGAUAGGAUUAUCAGAAUGCUGAGACAAAAAAGCAUAUGAUAUUGCUGCAAAAAUGAAUUGAAAAACAGCACAAAUUAAUCCAAUAAUGUCAGGAAAGGUCCCAAAAGGCUUUGGAUUUGGAUAUGGAUAAUAAAACCAAGGCAUCAACCCACUCCUCAUCCAAGUAACUCUUUCUUUUC